rnacentral:rRNA from 1 species
UACGAAGGGGGCUAGCGUUGCUCGGAAUCACUGGGCGUAACGCGCACGUAGGCGGAUUUGUAAGUCAGGGGUGAAAUCCCGGGGCUCAACCCCGGAACUGCCUUUGAUACUGCGAAUCUCGAGUCCGGAAGAGGUGAGUGGAAUUCCUAGUGUAGAGGUGAAAUUCGUAGAUAUUAGGAAGAACACCAGUGGCGAAGGCGGCUCACUGGUCCGGUACUGACGCUGAGGUGCGAAAGCGUGGGGAGCAAACAGG